CAUAAGACCUGGGAGUCACCUUUCUGGGGCUCAGCUCCACCAUCUGAAAAGCUAAAUGAGCUCAGAGAUGUCCAAGGACCUGCCCAAGAAGCUCGAUGAAGCCAUCAGUCAGCUUGACGGUGUCUCAUCAGCAGUGAGACACCAACAGUGUCUCACCAGCCUUCAUGUCCCUGGAAUAGUGGCUCCUCUCACCCCUGGGGCGGUGACAGCAUCUGCUCAUACGAGGACCAAAGUUCAACCAAAGUACAGGGCACCAGGACUCCAAGCAGAGGUGUGACGUGAUGUGACUUACAUCAUAAGGGGAUUCUGCUGUGCUGACACCAAUGAAGACGAGGGUGGAAGAAGCAGGGAGACCAGUUAGGAGGCCAUCGCAGUGACCCAGAUCUGAACACGGAUCCUCGCACAAAUGGUUU